AUGUAACCAGCUGCUCUUCUCCAGCUACUUCAACUGAUGAAUGAUCUCAAGCAAUUCCAGGGGGCAGAAUUCUGUUUUUGGUCUAGCACUCGAAGCAUCAGCAAUCAGGAAUAAAUGCAAGGCUUUCUCACCCUAGCUGCAAGUAUCAGAUCACAGUCUGUCUGCAUCAAGAACCCCCGACACAGUACUCCUCAGCAGAAAGGAAGUCCUCACCAGCAGGGAGCAGGCACUGAAUGGAGCAGACACAAUUCUACAAAUCCCAGAUUAUCAUGCCUACCUAUUUCCACAGUAAUCAAAAAUCCCUGAUAGACGGACUUUAUUUCAAGAGUGAAAUGAAGCCUUGCUUUCUUAACAAAAGAAACAGCCCUUGAUUGCAUUAGGUAUCACGUACAACAUAAGGCUUAGAUCGUCAUAAAGCAGCAGAUGACAGUUACAAACUGGACCUUGAGUCUGUAAUUUCCUCUCAAAGAAGAGAGCAUAAAAAGAAAAGAAAGAAAGCUAUUAUACAGUAACAACUAGAUUAGAAGCUUGCUUUCUCAUUACUCUUUUUGUACAUGGUUGUUUCUAAUUCACAUCAGUUUAAUUUUUGUUUGAAAGGGGUUAUUUUAAUUUCUAGCUAUCUGAAGACUUCACCGCUCUGUAGUCACAGUGACUACAGUGAAGAAAUAUGACUCAGCUUUGAAGUAAGCAGUUGUGGGGGAGUGAGAACAUUCUACAUAGAAGCAUGGAGUUUAAUGAAGGCUGACUUAACCUGCUUCUCCACUAUAUAACGUGUUAGGCUGCCAGUCUUUAUGGGUGAGGAUGGUUUAGUUUAGAAAAAGUGGAAGACUGAAUUACAGAAAACAUAAAAUAAUAGGUAUGGUUGAGAGAGGUCCCAUUUAUGCUGUGCUGUAAUAAAAAACUAAGGAAAGAAAAAGCAACUGAUUUUAAACAAAUAAAUGUCAAUACUUUAAAUUUUGUGAAAUGUACUGCCGUAUUACCAUGGCAAAUUGAGUAAUAAACAUUCUGGGAGGAUUAGGAGUUUUCAUGAACAGUGCUUGCAGGAUCCUUAGCCAGGAU
rnacentral:lncRNA from 7 species